GGGCGAAUGGUUUAGUGGUAUAAUACUCCCUUAGCAUACCUGCAGAACUGGGAGUGGUCCAGGGUUCGAUUCCCUGUUCGUCCA